rnacentral:rRNA from 1 species
UAGGGAAUAUUGCAAAAUGGGCGAAAGCCCGAUGCAGCAACGCCGCGUGGGCGAUGAAGGCCUUCGGGUCGUAAAGCCCUUUUUGAGGGGAUGAGGAAGGACAGUACCCUCAGAAUAAGCCUCGGCUAACUACGUGCCAGCAGCCGCGGUAAAACGUAGGACGCAAGCGUUAUCCGGAAUUACUGGGCGUAAAGCGCGUGUAGGUGGUUAUGCAAGUCACUUGUGAAAGCUCCCGGCUAAACUGGGAGAGGUGAGGUGAGACUGCAUGGCUAGAGGGCAAUAGGGNGGUGCGGAACUCCGGGUGUAGUGGUGAAAUGCGUAGAUAUCCGGAGGAACACCAGAGGCGAAGGCGGCACCCUGGGUUGUACCUGACACUAAGACGCGAAAGCAUGGGUAGCGAACG